AUUGAACGCUGGCGGCAGGCCUAACACAUGCAAGUCGGACGGUAGCACAGAGGAGCUUGCUCCUCGGGUGACGAGUGGCGGACGGGUGAGUAAUGUCUGGGGAUCUGCCCGAUAGAGGGGGAUAACCACUGGAAACGGUGGCUAAUACCGCAUAACGUCGCAAGACCAAAGAGGGGGACCUUCGGGCCUCUCACUAUCGGAUGAACCAGAUGCGAUUAGCUAGUAGGCGGGGUAAUAGCCCACCUAGGCGACGAUCCCUAGCUGGUCUGAGAGGAUGACCAGCCACACUGGAACUGAGACACGGUCCAGACUCCUACGGGAGGCAGCAGUGGGGAAUAUUGCACAAUGGGCGCAAGCCUGAUGCAGCCAUGCCGCGUGUAUGAAGAAGGCCUUCGGGUUGUAAAGUACUUUCAGCGGGGAGGAAGGCGACGUGGUUAAUAACCUUGUCGAUUGACGUUACCCGCAGAAGAAGCACCGGCUAACUCCGUGCCAGCCGCCGCAGUAA
rnacentral:rRNA from 1 species